UUAUGUUUUAAUAGGAUCCAAAGUCAAAUUUAAACCUAUGUUAAAAUUGUAAGGACUGAAAACGGGGCUAAAUUCCUAAACAAUGAAGCCUCAUCUCUUUUUAUUUAGCUUGGCAUCAUUCACCAAUGUACUUGUGUUUAUACAAUCCAAAAAAUGGUAUAGUUGAACAAAAACACAAAUAUUUGUUAGAAAUAGCCAGAUCACUCAUGAUUCAAUCCGAAC
rnacentral:lncRNA from 1 species